AACGAACGCUGGCGGCAGGCUUAACACAUGCAAGUCGAGCGCCCCGCAAGGGGAGCGGCAGACGGGUGAGUAACGCGUGGGAACGUACCUUUUGGUUCGGAACAACUCCGGGAAACUGGAGCUAAUACCGGAUAAGCCCUAACGGGGAAAGAUUUAUCGCCGAAAGAUCGGCCCGCGUCUGAUUAGCUAGUUGGUGAGGUAACGGCUCACCAAGGCGACGAUCAGUAGCUGGUCUGAGAGGAUGAUCAGCCACACUGGGACUGAGACACGGCCCAGACUCCCUCGGGGGGGAGGCGGGGGGAAAAAGUGAAAAGGGGGGGAAGGCGUAAUCCCCCAUGGCGGGGGGAGGAAAGAGGCCUUAGGGGUAGAAAAGCCCUUUGGUCGGGAAAGAUAAUGAGUGGCCGGAAAAAAAAGCCCCGGGCAAACUCGGGC
rnacentral:rRNA from 1 species